CAAACUUGUUCAAGCGAUCAUGAGUUAAUUCAGUUUAAACUGAAUGAAAGGAUAAACAAAAACAAAUUUGCAUGUAGGGUCCCUGAUUUCAAAAGUGCAAACUUUAAAAUAUUAAGGGAAUUAGCUAGGAAAGUGGACUGGACUGAAGAACUCAAGGAUCUGAAUGUGGAGGAGGCCUGGAAUUACUUUAAGUCAAAGUU